GCGAGCGCCAAUUAGGAGGGGGGCAGGCGAGAGGAGAGAAAGGAAGCAAACAGAGGCAAAGCGAUUCAGCUCGCAGCAAAUCUGCAGCCUGUUUGCCAGACAGAUGGAACCACGUAGUCGAUGGCUUUGCUGCAGCCGGGCCCCCGAGCAGGAAGGAAGCCAGCUCUCUGCAAAGGAUGGGCUUGGUCCAGCAACGAGCACAUCCCUGUGAAGGUGAGAGAACAUGAGUGCUGGGGAUCCUCUGCCUCUGAGACCACCUUUGUGUGAACAAGAACUGGAGCUUUCCUGCAAACAAAGUAUCCUUCUGCGUCCCUUUGUGGCUGGGCUUUGGUUCUGCGAUACUGAAUCGUCUCCCUGCUCCCCGGCAGUUCUGCCAGCAGCAACCUGCCGGACACAGCAGCCUGACGAAGCAGGGGCGCUGGGAGGAAAGCAGGGAGCGCGCACGCUGCAGACCCGCCAGCAGCCAGCCCGCGAGGAUCCCAGCCUCCCCGCUUUCUCGUGCUGCAACAAUUUCAUACUGAUGGUUUUCAUCUGCUGUGCCUGUAUAUUUCAAAUGCACUCUAAGCAGCAAAGGGAUUACUUUGCAGGACUUUUGGUUGGUGUUGGUACAGUUGAGGCAGGCAAAGUAAAACUUUUCUGAGAGAGGAAAAUCCUUCAGUCCUCCCUCCGCUUGUGAAACCAACGCUUGAACAGAACAAUAUUAAUUCAUUUUUUUUUUCUCCUGCUAUUGAAUAGUAAAAAGCCUGCGAUACCCUGGGAAAACAUAUUCUUAAUGGUUUUCUUAAGGCUGAAUGCCCUACUAGCAGUAGCAAAGACAAAGCAGUAAGAUCUAAGGCCUCUUAGUCUCUAGAAAAUGGCAUAGGUUUUUAUGCUGGAAAAAUGAGGGAUUUAUUUCUUUUUUUGGUCAGAUGAGUUCAGGGUCAAUGUACAAUUUCUCUUUUUGUUUCUAUUCUAAUGACCAUCUAUUUUGGGGUGUUUUAUUCCCCCAAACUCCAUCUGACUGAUAAAAUUCAGCGCAUCUGGCUCUUUGUUAUAGAAAGAGCUUUGCAGUGUGCAUAGCUCUGUACACACAGCUUAUACAAAACCCAGAACCUCGCAAAACCUUUUGUUAAAGAAGAGCAAAGGACAGCAGUAGGUUUUGCCAGAGCGAACCUGCUCUCAUCUUAACCAAAAUUAUAUUUUCUACUUUAUAUUGUUACAAAUCCCCUCCCCCAGUCCCUAUUCCCUUGUGCUCCCCCAUCUUCUCACCCCUGCGUCCUUCUGGGUCCCUUCCCAGGUCACCCUCAGAAAAAAAAAAAAAAAGAAAAAAAAGAAUCCAACCAUCCAACCCUAAAAUGCACAUAAAAAGCCACAAAGAGGCAUCUUUCCUUCACAUGGCCACCAAAACCAGACACACGGGGGACUUACAGGCCAAAUCAUGCUCAUGUUAGGAGGGAGCACCAGGAGAUGGAUAAAGGGCUCAAAUGAUGCAACAGAAAUGUCGCAGCUUUAAAAUCUCUCUCCCCUGAACAUCUCUGAACUCCCCAGGAUAAAUCAGUCCUGGGGUGAUUUAAAGUAGGUGGACCUGCAAAAGGAUUCAGGGUUUUUUAGAGAAAUUAGAAACUGUUGCAAAUAUUUAUGCUUAAUUUAUGCACCAGAAG
ensembl:lncRNA